rnacentral:lncRNA from 1 species
AGGGUUAUGUUUAGGAAAUGCUAUGGGUAAUGUUAAUGAACAAGACACCAAUACAUACACAAGAGGAAUACACCAGAUAGUGUCCUGUUACCGAUCACUAGUAAAAUAUUUAUGUACAUACUACUUAUCAUUCAUGUCAUUGUGGUGUGAAAAAUAUGCACAGUCUACUCCAAUGAAUAUAUCUAGAAGUAGUAAUAAACACCAACACAAACGGUUUAACUCCUGUCUAUGUACUUUGUUACAGAAUAUUUAUCAUGACGCUGUUUCCGGGUGGCUGAUGAUAGCUUCGUUCUUAUAUAAGUCAAAAGAAUACAGUAAAGCAUUACAUAUCAUCAUUUAUUCUUUGUCAAAAUGUACUCCCGAAAAACUACACCGCUUCAUGGAUAUGUCGGGUAGUCGUUUCUAAUUACCCGAAUUUCAUUUAAUUCACAGAAAAAGUUAUGUACAAAUUUGGAAAAUAAUGCUUGUAGAUGUUAUGACAUUUACAAGAAACUCAUUGCUUAUACCAAAUGAACUACAAAUGGAGGUGGAAAAUGGAGUAUAUUUUAUUUCCUCUAUAGUGUAUGCUUAUUUUCUAAUGUUUUUAUGUCAUUAUCAUCUAAAUAAUGUCGGACAAUGUCAGGAUUCCAUCCACACUUUACAACUUGUCAUAACAGAACACUACUUGAUAGACAAAGAUUUAAUUUUACUGUAUGCAUCAUACACUAUUCUUGGAAUUGCUUUACAGUUAUUAGGAGACAGUGAAUCCGCCCGACAAGCAUUUAUGAAGUCAGUUGAAAUAAAACCGGAUCUGUUAAGAGAUUUACACUUAUGAACUCGUUAUGAUAUUUGUGUAUUAAGUUGAACAACUUGUAAAAGACUGUCAAACACAUUUCAUAUUUAAUUCGAUUAUAUGGAUUUUUUUGGAUUUUUUACCACUUACCC